UGCCAGCCGCCGCGGUAAUACGGAGGGGGUUAGCGUUGUUCGGAAUUACUGGGCGUAAAGCGCGCGUAGGUGGUUUGUUAAGUGGGAUGUGAAAGCCCUGGGCUCAACCUGGGAACUGCAUUCCAAACUGACAGACUAGAGUACGAUAGAGGGAGGUAGAAUUCAGAGUGUAGCGGUGAAAUGCGUAGAUAUAGGAAGGAAUACCGGUGGCGAAGGCAUCUCUCUGGGUCGAUAUUGACGCUGAGGCGCGAAGGCGUGGGUAGCGAACGGGAUUAGAUA
rnacentral:rRNA from 1 species